rnacentral:rRNA from 1 species
GGGUGAGUAACACGUGAGUAACCUGCCCUUGACUUUGGGAUAACUUCAGGAAACUGGGGCUAAUACCGGAUAGGAGCUCCUGCUGCAUGGUGGGGGUUGGAAAGUUUCGGCGGUUGGGGAUGGACUCGCGGCUUAUCAGCUUGUUGGUGGGGUAGUGGCUUACCAAGGCUUUGACGGGUGGCCGGCCUGAGAGGGUGGCCGGCCACAUUGGGACUGAGAUACGGCCCAG